rnacentral:rRNA from 1 species
GACGGAGGAUGCAAGUGUUAUCCGGAAUCACUGGGCGUAAAGCGUCUGUAGGUGGUUCGAACCGUCCACUGUUAAAAAUUGAGGCUUAACCUCAAAGAUGCCGUGGAAACUUUCAAACUAGAGUAUGGUAGGGGUAGAGGGAAUUUCCAGUGGAGCGGUGAAAUGCGUAGAGAUCGGGAAGAACAUCGGUGGCGAAAGCGCUCUACUGGACCGCAACUGACACUCAGGGACGAAAGCGAGGGGAGCGAAUGGG